rnacentral:siRNA from 1 species
CCUGCCAGUAGUCAUAUGCUUG